rnacentral:rRNA from 1 species
AUACGUAGGUGACAAGCGUUAUCCGGAUUUACUGGGCGUAAAGGGCGUGUAGGCGGUCUUGCAAGUCAGAAGUGAAAUUCCUGAGCUCAACUCGGGAGCUGCUUCUGAAACUGCAGGACUUGAGUGCUGGAGGGGAUAGCGGAAUUCCUAGUGGAGCGGUAAAAUGCGGAGAUAUUGUGAAGAACACCGGUGGCGGAGGCGGCUUUCUGGACAGUAACGGACGCUGAGUCGCGAUAGCGGGUGUAGCAAACAGGCUUAGAUACCCGGGUAGUCCACGCCGUAAACGAUGAAUACUUGGUGUAGUGAGUAUCGACUCCCUCUGUGCCUCAGUUAACACAAUAAGUAUUCCGCCUGGGGAGUACGGCCGCAAGGUUGAAACUCAAAGGAAUUGACGGGG